GAUGAAGAACGCAGCGAAAUGCGAUAAGUAGUGUGAAUUGCAGAAUUCAGUGAAUCAUCGAAUCUUUGAACGCACAUUGCGCCCCUUGGUAUUCCAUGGGGCAUGCCUGUUCGAGCGUCAUUUGUACCUUCAAGCUUUGCUUGGUGUUGGGUGUUUGUCUCGCCUCCGCGUGUAGACUCGCCUCAAAACAAUUGGCAGCCGGCGUAUUGAUUUCGGAGCGCAGUACAUCUCGCGCUUUGCACUCACAACGACGACGUCCAAAAGUACAUUUUUACACUCUUGACCUCGGAUCAGGUAGGGAUACCCGCUGAACUUAAGCAUAUCAAUAAGCGGAGGA
rnacentral:misc_RNA from 1 species